CCUACGGGAGGCAGCAGUGGGGAAUUUUGGACAAUGGGGGCAACCCUGAUCCAGCCAUUCCGCGUGAGUGAAGAAGGCCUUCGGGUUGUAAAGCUCUUUCAGCCGGAACGAAACGGUGCGCGCUAACAUCGCGUGCUAAUGACGGUACCGGCAGAAGAAGCACCGGCUAACUACGUGCCAGCAGCCGCGGUAAU
rnacentral:rRNA from 1 species